GACGAACGCUGGCGGCGUGCCUAAUACAUGCAAGUUGAGCGCUGAAGGUUGGUACUUGUACCAACUGGAUGAGCAGCGAACGGGUGAGUAACGCGUGGGGAAUCUGCCUUUGAACGGGGGACAACAUUUGGAAACGAAUGCUAAUCCCGCAUAAAAACUUCAAACACAAGUUUUAAGUUUGAAAGAUGCAAUUCCCUCACUCAAACAUGAUCCCGCGUUGUAUUAGCUAGUUGGUGAGGUAAAGGCUCACCAAGGCGAUGAUACAUAGCCGACCUGAGAGGGUGAUCGGCCACAUUGGGACUGAGACACGGCCCAAACUCCUACGGGAGGCAGCAGUAGGGAAUCUUCGGCAAUGGACGAAAGUCUGACCGAGCAACGCCGCGUGAGUGAAGAAGGUUUUCGGAUCGUAAAACUCUGUUGGUAGAGAAGAACGUUGGUGAGAGUGGAAAGCUCAUCAAGUGACGGUAACUACCCAGAAAGGGACGGCUAACUACGUG
rnacentral:rRNA from 1 species